AGAAUGUAUUUUACAACUUUUUCUCAUCAAAGAGAAAUUAAGCACCAUUUCGGGGGAACAUGUUAUAAAAUUUUCACUUUCUGCCUUUUGCUUUCCAGUGUCCUGAUGUUGUCUUCAAUGAUUUAUCUCCAUAUUAAUUUGUCAUUUUGCCCUCAUCUGAGAGCAUUUUGCUGAACACAAAGUAUAUGCAAGAUUGUACGUGACCAACUGUUUAGCAUAAUCUACGUCAGUGUGUCCUAUUGUCAAAUCCCUCCUGCUCUGGAAUACCUUGUUCUUUCCAAGGCAGCCUAGGAAGUAUUGGGAAGCAGGGUCACUUCACAGACUACUUCAGAUGAUAACGCAAGAUGUUAGUGCCACUUUCAGUGGAUGAGUGGUCCUGUGACAGAUGGCUGUGAUCAACCUCCACUGGUAACUGGACUUGACAUUUGAUGAAAAUAAAAGUGAACAUCUGAAGAACAUCUGUAAAGCGACAGCAGAGGACAGCCAUGCUGUAGUUCAUCAUCUACAUUAGAUUCUGUGUGAUGCUCCUUCUAUAAUGUAAUAUUAGCAAAAGUUGGAUUUUCCUGGCGAAUUUAAGGCUACUAAAAGCCUAUGGCCUAUUGUUCUGCUUUUCCUAACUUUCCAGGAAGACCUGGAACUAAAUUUAAUGCCUAAUUGUAUUUCCUGUGUUAGGUUUGGUGUUUUUGUAGUUAUCAUUUCCUUUUUUCAAUGUUCUGCUUUUUAUUUUUGUAGCUUAAUCCUUUUAGAAAUGUGUGCUAUGUAUUCAAGAUUAAUAAAGUCAUUG